rnacentral:rRNA from 1 species
GUAGGUAGAGAAUACUAAGGCGAAGAGAUAAUACUUGUAAAGGAACUCGGCAAGUUGUCUUCAUAAGUUUGACGACAUGAAGAACCAUUUUAAUCGUAGGGUGACCUAUGGUUACUAAUUUAUUAUGGUAUUGAAAUAUUUUUAUAUUUUGAUAUUGUAGUAUUAGUGUGGUGUCACAAAAUCGGAGGCCCCGACUGUUUACUAAAAACACAGCUUUCUGCAACGAAUAAUAUCUGUGUAUAGAAAGCGAAUUUUGCCCAAUGCCAUCAAUAUAAGGUUGGUAAGCGCAUAGCGUAAUUACUGACUGAAGUUCUGGUCAAUGGCGGUCUUAUCUAUGAGGAUCCUAAGGUAGCAAAAUUAAUUGUCCAUUAAAUGUGGUCCUGACUGAAUAAAGUAACGAUGGUCUCACUGUCUCUACAAGUAUCUCAGUGAAAUUGAAUUAGCCGUGCAGAUGCGGUUUAACUUCGGUUAGACGGGAAGACCCUAUGC